GACGAACGCUGGCGGCGUGCCUAAUACAUGCAAGUAGGACGCACAGUUUAUACCGUAGCUUGCUACACCAUAGACUGUGAGUUGCGAACGGGUGAGUAACGCGUAGGUAACCUGCCUAUUAGAGGGGGAUAACUAUUGGAAACGAUAGCUAAUACCGCAUAACAGUAUGUAACACAUGUUAGAUGCUUGAAAGAUGCAAUUGCAUCGCUAGUAGAUGGACCUGCGUUGUAUUAGCUAGUAGGUAGGGUAAAGGCCUACCUAGGCAACGAUACAUAGCCGACCUGAGAGGGUGAUCGGCCACACUGGGACUGAGACACGGCCCAGACUCCUACGGGAGGCAGCAGUAGGGAAUCUUCGGCAAUGGGGGGAACCCUGACCGAGCAACGCCGCGUGAGUGAAGAAGGUUUUCGGAUCGUAAAGCUCUGUUGUUAAGGAAGAACGAGUGUGAGAAUGGAAAGUUCAUACUGUGACGGUACUUACCAGAAAG
rnacentral:rRNA from 1 species